rnacentral:rRNA from 1 species
GAUGAACGCUGGCGGCGUGCCUAACACAUGCAAGUCGAGCGAACAGACGAGGAGUUUGCUCCUCUGACGUUAGCGGCGGACGGGUGAGUAACACGUGGAUAACCUACCUAUAAGACUGGGAUAACUUCGGGAAACCGGAUCUAAUACCGGAUAAUAUAUUCAACCGCAUUGUUCAAUAGUGAAAUACGGUUUUGGUGUCACUUAUAGAUGGAUCCGCGCCGGAUUAGUUAGUUGGUAAGGUAACGGCUUACCAAGGCAACGAUGGGUUGCCGACCUGAGAGGGUGUUGGGCCCCACUGGAGCUGAGACACGGUCCAGAGUCCGAGAGAAGGCAGCAGUAGGGAAUGUUGCGCGAUGGGCGAAAGCCUGACGGAGCAACGCAGCGUGAGUGAUGAGAGUCUUCGGAUCGGAAAACGCUGUUAGUGGGGAAAACCAAAUGUGUAAGGAACGAUGCACGUCUUGACGGUACCUAAUCAGAAAGCCACGGCUAACUACGUG